UUAUCCCAGGGCCCAGGCUCGCGGCUCCGGGGGAGGUGGAGGAGGUGAUUGGCGGCUCACCGGGACUGUGCAUUGAUGACUGCCGGGCUCUAAUCUCCAGGAAACACAAGGGGCUGCCGUGGCCAUUUAGGGGAUGGGCUCAAACCCUAAACACUGCUUCCUUAAUCACUUCCGUGGGUGAUUAUAUGUACAGGACCAUGUCAAGCCACCUAUCUGUCUCUUUGUGUGUGACACACACUCCUUGGAGACAGGGUACCAAAUAUUCCAGGCUGGCCUUGAACUCACCUCACUAUGUAGCUAAAGAAGACCUUGAAAUCCUGAUCCUCCUGCUUCCAGCUACCAAGUGCUAGGAUUACAGGGCUACAGGAACACCCCACCUGACCUGAGAGGGACACAGCCCGUCAUCCCUGCUGAGACUCCAAUCUGAUCAAGUGAGCAACAACCAGACUCCAACCAGACUUCUAUUCAGAAGGCUUCAGAAGAAAGGACUGGCCCUCUGUAACUCAGUGUGACAUCAUCUUAAUUAUAGCCGAGAGGACCUGUUUCCACAGAAGGUCACCUCCACAGGUUCCAGCAGCAAGAAAGCUGGAGAAAUGUGGCCAGAGCAAUGGGAGCUCCUUGCUGGUGUCUGCGGGUGUCUGUCGUGGACCUGUCCCUGAAAACAGUGACGCUCCUGCCCUGGCUCCAGGGAAGGCCCCUUCGCUUUGCCAGCCUCACCCUUAUUCUCUCAAAGCUGCAGAUCAGCAUGGGCUCCCUGCGCUCAUGGAGACUAUGGCAACCUAGAUCCCAAACCACAUCUCCUGAUUUGGGCAGAUGGAAGAAUCCAGAUUCUAGGAGCUCAGAUGAGUCCAUUUUUCAACAGAGCCUUCUCCCACCCCAAGGUCUGGGGUUCCUUUGGCUCCUAGACCUCAACUUCAAGUGUUGGGUAGGCGCCAACAGUUACUUGAGUUGUAAGGUUCUAGCUGGAGCUCAGGGACUCAGCCACUCACAAGCCUCUUGGAACCUCUGUUUUCUUUUCUGUGAAAUGGGGCUAGUAGCCCACAGUUUCAUCACUGGGCAGGAGCAGGUGGAAAGAAGAGCUCAUCAAACGCUGGACAGGCUUUCAUCGUGGGCAGGGCUCCUGUAGGAAGAGCAGACUCUGGGACUGGGGCAGAGGUUCUGAGCCACUCACAGUACCACCUGAGUCCCUGCUUGCUCACUGUGUCACCUGACACUCAUGUAACCUAAACAGGACCCUCCACAUUCACAGGUCAUGUGGUAGUCUGUGUCCCAAUCCCCAGUAGUCUGUGUCCUCAGGCUGUCGGUUUUAUGCACCUAACUGUAACUCCAUGCCCAUGUACCCACCCACAAUGUAGAAGUAAAAAGGGAAGACUGGCAAGGCUGGGAGGCAUUUCCAGGAUCCUUUAAGUCCUCAAUGGUGGUAUGAUAUCACACUGCGCCCUGACCAGCUUUCCCUGUUCUGGCUUUCGGUCGGAACCCUGUUUCUUUCCCAAGGGCAGAAUAUGAAAGUACUGGGUGCUGUCAACCUUCCUCAGCACCCCCUCUUCUCAAGGGUCACCUCUGCACACUAGCACUCACAGGACACAGCUCCCACAGAGCAGAGCCCCUGCACCAGCAGAUGGCUUCCCAGUUAGAGUUACUGUCCAGCUCAGCCACCAGGCAGCAGGCAGGCCAGGCAUCAGGAGGCGGGGCGGUGGCUACUCCCCGGCCUGCUUGGAGCCUCUCUCAGCAGGAGCCUGGUCCCCAACUGUCCCCUGGGGUCAGAUCCAUCACUUGGUGGCUGCACUCCAUCAGGCAGGCGCAGCCGGAGGGUCAAGUGGCCCAUCCGCCACCGGGCGCUGGGAGCCCAUCAUGGCCAUAUUUAAUUUAAUUAAGGCUGUCAGCACUAUUGAUUUCAGCAGUUUCAAUUACUAGGCUGUUAUGGUUUCUGGAUCAACUGAUCUGUGAUGGGUCCUAUCAGCAAAGACACACAUUGAGGAGAGAACCCUCCAUCUCCGUUAAGCCUGACACACGCCGCCAGGGCCUGUGAGUUAUUGCUUCCAUCCAGCCCGGCUCCCCUUCCCAGUCUCAUAAUUAAUUUCUCAUUAGACAGCUCUUUAUUGUUUAAUUUGUGCGGUUUAUAAUCAAAUUGGGCACAUUAAUUGUCGUUGGAUUUAAGGCGAAUGGAAAAGAAAGGGCUUCAAUAACUUACUCUUCCAUGACUCCCGACAAGAUAAAAUAAAGCCGGCAGAGAAGU